GACGAACCGUGCGAACGUUGUUCGGAAUCACUGGGCUUAAAGGGCGCGUAGGCGGGUCAUCAAGUCCGGGGUGAAAUCUUUCGGCUUAACCGGAAAACAGCCUUGGAUACUGGUGGUCUCGAGCGAGGUAGGGGCCGUUGGAACUUCCGGUGGAGCGGUGAAAUGCGUUGAUAUCGGAAGGAACGCCGGUGGCGAAAGCGAACGGCUGGACCUCUUCUGACGCUGAGGCGCGAAAGCCAGGGGAGCGAACGGG
rnacentral:rRNA from 1 species